ensembl:lncRNA
CACCAUAAUUAAUAGUGAUUUUUAGUUUCUUCACUCUGUAGUGAUACCGUUGUAACAUCUUGUUUUAUCUCCUGCAAGGGAGCAGAUGGAGUUCGUGGAUUGAAAGGCACCAAAGGUGAAAAGGGUGAAGAUGGCUUCCCUGGCUUCAAAGGUGAUAUGGGCAUCAAAGGAGACCGGGGGGAAAUUGGACCUCCUGGCCCCCGGGGUGAGGAUGGUCCCGAGGGUCCCAAAGGUCGCUCUGGCCCCAAUGGAGAUCCGGGUCCUCUUGGUCCUGCUGGAGAGAAGGUGAGUCUCAAGGAGGGGAUGGC